CCCUAUUAUUUAAGAGCUGAAUAUUGUUAGUAUAUAAAGAUUAUGAAAGCAAAAAGUUAUGGCGGUAUUUUAAGCUUUUCAGAGGAAUUUGCUCUUUAAUGGAUAAAACACCAAAAUCUUACUUAAAUUUGUCAAAUCAACUUGUAUACCACUAUUAAAACAAUUAUUAACUCUAAUUGUUAAUAUUUAAAAUUUUAUAAUUAAUUAAAAUUAAGUCAAGGUGCAGUAAAAAUUUAAGAAUGAAGUGAAUUACAUUACUUUUAAGGGGAAUAAAAUUAAWUAAAAAUUAGGAUUUGAAAGUAAAAUUAAWAUAGAAUGUUAAUUUGAAUUAAGCUCUAAAAUAUGUACAUAUCGCCCGUCACUCUUUUUUAA
rnacentral:rRNA from 1 species